rnacentral:rRNA from 1 species
UACAGAGGGUGCAAGCGUUAAUCGGAAUUACUGGGCGUAAAGCGCACGUAGGCGGCUUCUUAAGUCGGUGGUGAAAUCCUGGAGCUCAACUCCAGAACUGCCUCGAUACUGGGAAGCUCGAGUCCGGGAGAGGUGAGUGGAACUGCGGAGUGUAGAGGUGGAAUUCGUAGAUAUUAGGAAGAACACCAGUGGCGAAGGCGGCUCACUGGUCCGGUACUGACGCUGAGGUGCGAAAGCGUGGGGAGCAAACAGGG